rnacentral:lncRNA from 13 species
AUGUGCCUCCCGCAGACCACAGGACUACAGCCUUCAGUCACACGCCGCACAGACUGUGGCAGGACGAGCACCCGCUGCCGGUGUGGGAUGCCCGGCCUUGCAGGAGCCCCCAGGAGUGGCUGGAGGGCAGGGCAUGAUGCCUCUUGGGCCACUUUGCAAAGGGCUCACGAGCCUGCUGAAGAGCAUGGAUUUGAUCAGGGUAACAGGAGUCGGCAGAGGGUGUUCCAAGGACAGGUUUGCCAAGAAGCGAGAAGAGCCUGGCGGGGAAGGAUGGAGGCACUGGGUGUAGUCAGGCACCGUUGUAAUUUCUGCGGUGAGAAGACUCUGUGGGGCGGGAAGACUCUGCGGGGCGGCCUGAGGGCGAGAGGGGGGAAAACAGAAACCCACGCUCCGAAGCUCCUGGCCCAGCUGCCAGGGCUUGGUGGCCCAGGACCAGCCUGCACGCGGCCUCGGGUGCCCGCUCCGGGCCCUGUCCCACGUGCGAGUCAGGCCUCUGAGUUCUUCCCGGGCCCUGUCCCACGUGCGAGUCAGGCCUCUGAGUUCUUCCCGGGCCCUGUCCCACGUGCGAGUCAGGCCUCUGAGUUCUUCCCGGGCCCUGUCCCACGUGCGAGUCAGGCCUCUGAGUUCUUCCCGGGCCCUGUCCCACGUGCGAGUCAGGCCUCUGAGUUCUUCCCGGGCCCUGUCCCACGUGCGAGUCAGGCCUCUGAGUUCUUCCCGGGCCCUGACCCACGUGCGAGUCAGGCCUCUGAGUUCUUCCCGGGCCCUGUCCCACGUGCGAGCCAGGCCUCUGAGUUCUUCCCGGGCCCUGUCCCACGUGGGAGCCAGGCCUCUGAGUUCUUCCCGGGCCCGCGCCCCAAUGCAGUUGUCCGCGCUCUGAAAACCCUGGGCCAUCGGUCAGGUCUUCAGCAGCAUCUGCUCGUGCUGGGAACGUCCGACGGCGUUUCUGACUGCGGCGCACGCGUGGCAGGCACAGAAAACGGACGCCUUCCAGAGAACCGCCCAAAGGGCAGGCGCUGCACGUGGCGUCGGGGAGGUCGCCGGCCCGUCCAGAGCCGCCCAGUGACCCUCCCGCGCCCUCCGGGGGCCUCUGCGGACGUCGCCGCGCUGGGCACGCGCGGUUUCGCGGGAAGCCGGGGGCAGGUUCAAGGCUGGGAAUUGAAUUUUUUCUUCAGAAGCGCCUGUGCCCACCCCGGGUUUCUCUGGGGAAAAACACGAGAUUAG